CUUUUCCGCCCUGCCCUGCUGAUACUCCAGGUACAUCAGCAAGACAGAAAUGGAGCCUGGAGCCAUAGCGGCUGCAUCAGCUGGAGCCAUGAGCAAGGAGGCUUUUGUCCUUGGAGCUGCUGAGGGUGCUGCCAAAGCAGUCGGCAUAAUCAUUUCCCCCGCUGCAAUUCCAUGGAUCUGUGGAACAGCUAUAGCGAUCACGGCUAUAGUUGCUAUCUAUAAAGCAUAUAAACACUCCAACCAUAAAUUGGAUUGAAGUGUGAAAAGACAUUUAAUCAAAUAAACUGGCUUACAGAAUUGGAAUGUACCAUAAUAAUUCACUGCAAAAUACAUAUUUCAAUAUAAUUUCAUGAAACAAAUAACAAAUAAAAAGCCAGAACCAC